UCUGGAAGGCAAGGGUAGAGGAUGGCUGCCUGAAGAAGUGCCCCUGCGCUACCAGCGUUGAGAGGGUGCUAGGGCUAUGAGGGAACUAGCCCAGGGAAAAUAAGGAGCAGGUUGGGGAAAGGCAGUAGGUGGCUGUUGGCUAUAGGGUCCCUGGCUUGGGUACCAGAGUAGUGAAUGGGCCUGGGUGGUGCCUCCCCACCUUGCACCCCAGUUGACAAUGAGGAGAGUGGCCAGUAUCCAGACUGUAGUUUGCCCCUGAGGCAAGGGGCUGGAUCUUGGACUGCAGUUGGCUGCUAAGGCAAGUGGUGGGACUAAGGACUAUCAGACCCCUGGAAGGAGGGGAGAAUGCAGAGUGGGGCACAGCUGGAGGGCUGUGCCCAGAAGAUGCUGCAGUCUGGGAAGCAAUGUGGGUCCAAAGAGUGGAAACAGCAGUGAUGGUGGAUCUCUUCCUGGAGACUUUCAAACAAAAUGGAAAUGUUUGGUUCUACAUGGUGUACUAUGGGUGUUUUAUUAUUGAAGACAGAUGAAGGAAGUGCACCUUGUACUUGGAACGGAAAGAGUGCCUGCUGGAGUCGUGAUUUGUGUCUCCACUUCUGUAGAAUCUCCACUUCUGUAUAAAAGUCACACGAGUGAGUUUCUAGCCCUUAUGGUUGUGGAAGGAAAUA